UGCAAAGUGUUAUUGAGUGGAAGCAGCUC
rnacentral:piRNA from 1 species